rnacentral:rRNA from 1 species
CCAUGGCUUCGACGGGUAGCCGGCCUGAGAGGGCGACCGGCCACAUUGGGACUGAGAUACGGCCCAGACUCCUACGGGAGGCAGCAGUGGGGAAUAUUGCACAAUGGGCGCAAGCCUGAUGCAGCGACGCCGCGUGCGGGAUGACGGCCUUCGGGUUGUAAACCGCUUUUGACUGGGAGCAAGCCCUUCGGGGUGAGUGUACCUUUCGAAUAAGCACCGGCUAACUACGUGCCAGCAGCCGCGGUAAUACGUAGGGUGCAAGCGUUAUCCGGAAUUAUUGGGCGUAAAGGGCUCGUAGGCGGUUCGUCGCGUCCGGUGUGAAAGUCCAUCGCUUAACGGUGGAUCCGCGCCGGGUACGGGCGGGCUUGAGUGCGGUAGGGGAGACUGGAAUUCCCGGUGUAACGGUGG